AACGCACAUUGCGCCCCUUGGUAUUCCAUGGGGCAUGCCUGUUCGAGCGUCAUUUGUACCCUCAAGCUAUGCUUGGUGUUGGGUGAUUGUCCCGUCUUUUCUAGUCAGGACUCGCCUUAAAGUAAUUGGCAGCCAGUAUUUUGGGGUAAAGCGCAGCACAUUUUGCGAUUUAGUCCAGUAAUAUUAGCAACCAUCAAGUUUUAUAUAUCACUUUUGACCUCGGAUCAGGUAGGGAUACCCGCUGAACUUAA
rnacentral:misc_RNA from 1 species